GAUGAAGAACGCAGCGAAAUGCGAUAAGUAAUGUGAAUUGCAGAAUUCAGUGAAUCAUCGAAUCUUUUAACGCACAUUGCGCCCCCUGGUAUUCCGGGGGGCAUGCCUGUUCGAGCGUCAUUACAACCCUCAAGCUCUGCUUGGUGUUGGGCCCCGCCGCCCCGGCGGGCCCUAAAAUCAGUGGCGGUGCCGUCCGGCUCCGAGCGUAGUAAUUCUUCUCGCUCUGGAGGUCCGGGUGUGUGCUCGCCAGCAACCCCCAAUUUUUUUCAGGUUGACCUCGGAUCAGGUAGGGAUACCCGCUGAACUUAAGCAUAUCAAUAAGCGGAGGA
rnacentral:misc_RNA from 1 species